rnacentral:lncRNA from 1 species
UCAGCCUUUCUCAUACAAGGAGAGGUAUACUGAGGUACAUCUAGGCCAUAGUGUAUGUAUCAUGGAAAAAGUGUCACUAGCAUAUUUUGGGAAGGCUCUGGAAAGAAAGAGCAGGCAAAGAAGGAAAAGAAUAAAAAAAGACUCUGAAGGCAACAUCUUGUAAGUGAGGUAUGCUGAUAGUGAGAAUGGUAGACUUGGGCACCUCCUUGCAUUUGUGUGAUAUGCUGAACACUUUCAAGUGACUGACUUUUAAGAGAGAUUCCCUUUUGACAGGCAUGGUGGCCCCUGAGCUUAUAUAAGAGCAGGGGUGUGCUCUGUGUGUAAGGCAGGGCUAGCCAGGAGCACAGAAUGUGCAGUGCCCUCACUGACACGGAACAGUCCAAUAGCACCUGAGCUAAACAAGCAAAGCAGAAUGGUCCAGCAACAGUUCCUGUGAACAGCCCAUCCAUCAGAAGACAAGGCAACAUGCCAGAACUAAGAAGAUGAAUGCAGGAAAUCCAAACAACAAUUUAGGGAUGGAGAUGCUGUUGCAGAAGAGCGACACCAUUCAUCUCAAUCAGAUCCUGGAAAUCAAAACACAAUCAGAUGCUGAUGAUCUAAGCCGUAAUAAGUACUUGAUUUGUGACUCCGAGAUGUAGGGAACUGUAAUGGCUGAAGACAUUUAUUGUUAGAGGAUGAAAUAUGUUCUUCAUUCAACAUGGGGAAGCAAAGAUCCAGCAAUUGAGUAAUGUGGAUUGCCUUCUUAGAGAGGCAUGCUGCAAACUUUCCAAGUAUGCUAGAAUGAAAAUCUGACCUGCUAUAACCAGUUUCCAAAAUUUCAAACCAACUUACUCAAAACUUAUGUUGCAUCUGAAGAUAUUUAAACUUAUUAAAUAUAAAUAUAUAUGAAAAUGAACUGUGGUAAACUUUCUCAUUGAUGGUUAUUAUGUAAGCACCCUCUAAAUAUUAAGGUUGCUCUUAUACACAUUUUUAUUUCCAUAAAGGUCAGAGGGGGCUAAUAACACCCAAAGGUGGUGUUAUUGCAAAGGUCAAUAACACUUCUUUAUUUCCUCUGCCUUAGAGUAUAAAUUCUCGAGGACAGGGAAUGUCAUUACACGUUUUUAUUAUUGCAUUUCACCAGUGUAUCUCAGCUAUCACAAUUCUUCCUUUUAAUAGAUCGACUGGCUUUUGACAUUCUGAUGUUGAUGUGGUAAUCUUUAUGGUGACAAUUCUUCUGAUUUUACAAGAAGUGAUUUGAGAAACAUGGCUAUUAGCACAAAUGAGGGAGGGAGGUAUGUCACACUAGUCAUAAUUGUUACUAAUUCUUAAUGGAACCUUGUAUAGAUCUUUAACUAGAAUCAUACUAAACAAACCAAAACGUUUGAAAUAACUGUCAGCACUUUACUGAGGGGAGUUCAUUAAAAAUCUGCAGAGAGAUUUGUGUUUAGUUGGUAUCCUACUGUUGUUAUUCUUUCAGCUGGGACAUUAAUAGCAGAAAGAUUGAUUUGCUUUACCUAUUUUUAGAUUACUUUUCUUCACAUGGUAAAUACUAGAGAAUCAUCAUAAUGUUAGCAAAGCCCCAAAACUCCUAAACCUAGCUGGGAAGAGCGUAAACUAAAAAAGAUUAUGUGAAUUUGGUAGGGAUUCUACAUCCAACAAAAGACAGAGUGUUUCUCCAAAAGGACCUGAAUCUGCCAGUCAACUCCUAUAAGUGAACACCUCACCCAUACAGAAAAUAAAGGACCAUGGUAUUCGUUACUUCUACCCA